ACACCGGUGCUGCAGAGCUGUGCCCCGCCCUCCAUGCAGUUCCCCUUGGGCCCCGCCUGCAUCUUCUUGAGGAAAGGCAUCGCUGAGAAACAGCGGGAAAGACCACUGGGACAAGAUGAGAUCGAAGAGCUCCGGGAAGCAUUUCUUGAGUUUGACAAGGACCGAGACGGGUUCAUCUCUUGUAAGGACUUGGGGAAUCUCAUGAGGACGAUGGGUUACAUGCCCACAGAGAUGGAACUGACUGAACUGGGCCAGCAAAUCCGCAUGAACUUGGGUGGCCGUGUGGACUUUGACGACUUUGUGGAGCUCAUGACCCCGAAAUUGCUUGCAGAAACGGCCGGGAUGAUCGGGGUCCAGGAGAUGCGAGACGCCUUCAAAGAGUUCGACGCGAACGGGGACGGGGAGAUCACCCUGGCGGAGUUGCAGCAGGCCAUGCAGAGGCUCCUGGGGGAGCAGCUCACCCCACGGGAGAUCUCCGAGGUUGUCCGGGAAGCCGAUGUUAAUGGAGAUGGCACCGUUGACUUCGAAGAUCUCAGCGUCUAUCUGCUGCCUAUACACAAAACUCCAAAAUUCUUAGUCUGCUGUCCACGUCCAUCCAUCAUCUGGCCCCACCCACCCACCUAGCCUGUGCCUUCUGGAACCACUCUGUGAAUUUUUAUGCUCUAGUGCAAACUCGUCACCUGCUCUGAGUUUGUGAAGAUGAUGGCCCGUUGAGGAGGUCCUGGAAGCCCCCGACACCGCCUACCCUCAAGCCCUUGAGGUCCAAAUCCCCGUGGCCCCAAAGAGGAGGGAGGGUGGGGGCCGGGGGGUGACAGGCCACGGCGUGGGUGGAGGUUAGACUGAAGGCGGUGGCUUUGCCGGGAUGGGGGCGCCCAUAGAGCUAGAAGCGUCUGUAUUUGAGCAGUAGUAGGGUCUAGCUGCCACUUCAAAGUCCCCACAGUGAGUGACAUCUCUUGGCUCCAUACAUAGCCUCAGGUCCCUGUGACCCACCAGCUCUCUUCCUCAGCUUCCCCUUGGGUUAAAAUAGUCCUUUCUCCUGUCGGGUUGUCAAAAAGUUCAGUGCAUGGUCUACCCUUCCCCUUCCUGCUUCAACUGCUUAGACUCCGCUCAUUUCUUUCUCUCAGCAAGAGGGAGGCACCUCCUCUGUCUCGGGGCUGCAGACAGGCUUCCUGCCAGGGCCGGCCAGGCUCGAGCUGGUCCCCUUGAUUCAAAGUGAGCAAGGGGGCUCCCCCCGCCUUCCCCUGAUUUCCUGGAAGCACAGCCUGGUUUUUCUCCCUCUCGCUCUCUCUGGCCUCCCACAGCCCUCUCCUUGUGUGAGAUACCCAGGGGACCGAAUUAAAUUGCAAAUCUGGAUUAUCAAGGUUUAGAACAAGCUGAUCCCUGGGGAAUUAAUCCCCCCUGCACCCCUGCAAAAUGUCAUCAUGCAAAGAGAGAUGACAGGAUCCCCCAAAUCCCCAGCUCAGCCGGGUUGCGGUGAGGUCUGCGAGAGUCUGUCUGUUAGGCAGGAAGUCUGCUCCAGCCCCUCACAUCCUGACAUCCACCUGUGCUCUGAGGCAGAAGAGAAAGAUUCCUCCCCACCUCCCCCGAGCGCGGGACACUCCAGCAAUGCAAGGGUUAAAAUAAAGACUUAAUCUCACACCUUCCUCCACGUUUUUCUCGCUUUGAAAUCCAUCAAGAAGAUGUAUAAAAUGGGUCACGUGGUUCAAUAGCAUUGUUUUAUAGAAUAAAAGUUAAGAAAAGGUGGAACCAGGAUAAUGGAAUUUCCUGACUUCCCACCUGUGGCCACUCCCCUUGCCACUUGUCACCGUCCUGAGACUGUUUUGUUUUGAA